GGGGCUAUAGCUCAGUGGUAGAGUGUUUGCCUAGCAUGCAAGAGGCACUGGUUGCGUUCCUCAGCACCA
rnacentral:tRNA from 1 species